ACUUCCUACGGGAGGCAGCAGUGGGGAAUAUUGCACAAUGGGGGAAACCCUGAUGCAGCGACGCCGCGUGAGUGAGGAAGUAUUUCGGUAUGUAAAGCUCUAUCAGCAGGGAAGAAAAUGACGGUACCUGACUAAGAAGCCCCGGCUAACUACGUGCCAGCAGCCGCGGUAAUACGUAGGGGGCAAGCGUUAUCCGGAUUUACUGGGUGUAAAGGGAGCGUAGACGGCGUGCCAAGUCUGAUGUGAAAGGCCGGGGCUCA
rnacentral:rRNA from 1 species